AGUGAACGCUGGCGGUAGGCCUAACACAUGCGAGUCGAACGGCAGCACAGUAAGAGCUUGCUCUUACGGGUGGCGAGUGGCGGACGGGUGAGGAAUACAUCGGAAUCUACUUUUUCGUGGGGGAUAACGUAGGGAAACUUACGCUAAUACCGCAUACGACCCACGGGUGAAAGCAGGGGAUCUUCGGACCUUGCGCGAUUGAAUGAGCCGAUGUCGGAUUAGCUAGUUGGCGGGGUAAAGGCCCACCAAGGCGACGAUCCGUAGCUGGUCUGAGAGGAUGACCAGCCACACUGGAACUGAGACACGGUCCAGACUCCUACGGGAGGCAGCAGUGGGGAAUAUUGGACAAUGGGCGCAAGCCUGAUCCAGCCAUACCGCGUGGGUGAAGAAGGCCUUCGGGUUGUAAAGCCCUUUUGUUGGGAAAGAAAAGCAGCAGGUUAAUACCCCGCUGUUCUGACGGUACCCAAAGAAUAAGCACCGGCGAACUUCGU
rnacentral:rRNA from 1 species